UUAGUUCGACUUUAAGAUUACUAUAAGAGAUAAAAAUCAAAAUGUAAUCUUAAAUUUUAGCCUGAAGAGGGACAGCUCUUUAGGAAUGGAAACAACCUUUUAUAGUGAAUAAACCCUAUAUUACCAAACCAUUGUUGGCCUAAAGGCAGCCACCAAUAAAGAAAGCGUUAAAGCUCAACACUAUAAACUUCUUAAUUCCAUAAAUAGUAAUGAAUUCCUAUAAACAUUAAUCGGGUCAAUCUAUAACUUUAUAGAUGAGAUACUGUUAACAUGAGUAACAAGAACACUGUUCUCCAAGCACAAGCCUAUAACAACCCGGAUAACCAUUGUUAGUUAACACCAAUAGGUGAAGACAUCACCAAUAAAAAUAACCUAAACCCAAAAAUGUUAACCCAACACAGGCGUGCAACAAGGAAAGAUUAAAAGAAGUAAAAGGAACUCGGCAAACAAGAAUCCCGCCUGUUUACCAAAAACAUCACCUCUAGCAUAAAAAGUAUUAGAGGCACUGCCUGCCCAGUGACAAACGUUCAACGGCCGCGGUAUCCUGACCGUGCAAAGGUAGCAUAAUCACUUGUUCCUUAAUUGGGGACUGGAAUGAAUGGCCCGACGAGGAUUCAACUGUCUCUUACUUCUAAUCAGUGAAAUUGACCUCCCCGUGAAGAGGCGGGGAUAUAAUAAUAAGACGAGAAGACCCUAUGGAGCUUUAAUUUCCUGACCUAUCUACCUAACAAACAACCCUACUGGGUUAAAAAAAAAGAAGUAGGCCAGUAAUUUCGGUUGGGGUGACCUCGGAGAAUAAAACAACCUCCGAAUGAUUUUAGCCAAGACCUACAAGUCAAAGUACUAAUAAUCAAAUUGACCCAAUUUAUUUGAUCAACGGACCAAGUUACCCUAGGGAUAACAGCGCAAUCCUAUUCAAGAGUCCAUAUCGACAAUUAGGGUUUACGACCUCGAUGUUGGAUCAGGACAUCCCAAUGGUGCAGCAGCUAUUAAUGGUUCGUUUGUUCAACGAUUAAAGUCCUACGUGACUGAGUCA
rnacentral:rRNA from 1 species